rnacentral:rRNA from 1 species
UACAGAGGUCUCAAGCGUUUGUUCGGAUUCAUUGGGCGUAAAGGGUGCGUAGGCGGCGCGGUAAGUCGGGUGUGAAAUCUCGGGGCUUAACUCCGAAACUGCAUUCGAUACUGCCGUGCUUGAGGACUGGAGAGGAGACUGGAAUUUACGGUGUAGCGGUGAAAUGCGUAGAUAUCGUAAGGAAGACCAGUGGCGAAGGCGGGUCUCUGGACAGUUCCUGACGCUGAGGCACGAAGGUCAGGGGGAGCAAACGGG